CUAAGGCCGAUGGCGACCGGCGCACGGGUGAGUAACACGUAUCCAACCUGCCGAUAACUCGGGGAUAGCCUUUCGAAAGAAAGAUUAAUACCCGAUGGCAUAAUAGAACCGCAUGGUUUGAUUAUUAAAGAAUUCGGUUAUCGAUGGGGAUGCGUUCCAUUAGGCAGUUGGUGGGGUAACGGCCCACCAAACCUUCGAUGGAUAGGGGUUCUGAGAGGAAGGUCCCCCACAUUGGAACUGAGACACGGUCCAA
rnacentral:rRNA from 1 species